rnacentral:rRNA from 1 species
CAAACUGGAGAUGGCGACCGGCGCACGGGUGAGUAACACGUAUCCAACCUGCCGAUAACUCGGGGAUAGCCUUUCGAAAGAAAGAUUAAUACCCGAUGGCAUAAUAGAACCGCAUGGUUUGAUUAUUAAAGAAUUUCGGUUAUCGAUGGGGAUGCGUUCCAUUAGGCAGUUGGUGGGGGUAACGGGCCCACCAAACCUUCGAUGGAUAGGGGUUCUGAGAGGAAGGUCCCCCACAUUGGAACUGAGACACGGUCCAAACUCCUACGGGAGGCAGCAUG